AUUGAACGCUGGCGGCAGGCUUAACACAUGCAAGUCGAGCGGAGAUGAGGUGCUUGCACCUUAUCUUAGCGGCGGACGGGUGAGUAAUGCUUAGGAAUCUGCCUAUUAGUGGGGGACAACAUUCCGAAAGGAAUGCUAAUACCGCAUACGUCCUACGGGAGAAAGCAGGGGAUCUUCGGACCUUGCGCUAAUAGAUGAGCCUAAGUCGGAUUAGCUAGUUGGUGGGGUAAAGGCCUACCAAGGCGACGAUCUGUAGCGGGUCUGAGAGGAUGAUCCGCCACAAUGGGACUGAGACACGGCCCAGACUCCUACGGGAGGCAGCAGUGGGGAAUAUUGGACAAGGGGGGGAACCCUGAUCCAGCCAUGCCGCGUGUGUGAAGAAGGCCUUAUGGUUGUAAAGCACUUUAAGCGAGGAGGAGGCUACUGAGACUAAUACUCUUGGAUAGUGGACGUUACUCGCAGAAUAAGCACCGGCUAACUCUGUGCCAGCAGCCGCCGUAAUAC
rnacentral:rRNA from 1 species